UCUCCCGCUUCUCCUCCCUGAGCGGGUGCCUUAAUCCCCAUUAAGGCGUUUUAGCCCCCGGUUUAUUCCCCUUUACCGGGGGCUUUUUUAU
rnacentral:ncRNA from 1 species